rnacentral:rRNA from 1 species
AGUGAACGCUGGCGGUAGGCCUAACACAUGCAAGUCGAACGGCAGCACAGUAAGAGCUUGCUCUUACGGGUGGCGAGUGGCGGACGGGUGAGGAAUACAUCGGAAUCUACUUUUUCGUGGGGGAUAACGUAGGGAAACUUACGCUAAUACCGCAUACGACCUACGGGUGAAAGCAGGGGAUCUUCGGACCUUGCGCGAUUGAAUGAGCCGAUGUCGGAUUAGCUAGUUGGCGGGGUAAAGGCCCACCAAGGCGACGAUCCGUAGCUGGUCUGAGAGGAUGAUCAGCCACACUGGAACUGAGACACGGUCCAGACUCCUACGGGAGGCAGCAGGGGGGAAUUUUGGACAAUGGGCGCAAGCCUGAUCCAGCCAACCCGCGUGGGUGAAGAAGGCCUUCGGGUUGUAAAGCCCUUUUUUUGGGAAAGAAAAGCAGCAGGUUAAUACCCCGCUGUUCUGACGGUACCAAAAGAAUAAGCACCGGCUAACUUCGU